rnacentral:rRNA from 1 species
UACGGGGGGAGCAAGCGUUGUUCGGAUUUACUGGGCGUAAAGGGCGCGUAGGCGGUCAGCACAAGUCAAUUGUGAAAUCUCCGAGCUUAACUCGGAAAGGUCAACUGAAACUGUGCGACUAGAGUGCGGAAGGGGCAACUGGAAUUCUUGGUGUAGCGGUGAAAUGCGUAGAUAUCUGGAGGAACACCGGUGGCGAAGGCGACAUCCUGGACCGGUAUUGACGCUGAGGCGCGAAAGCCAGGGGAGCAAACGGG